rnacentral:rRNA from 1 species
CAACGCCGCGUGGAGGAUGAAGGCCCCUUAGGGGUGUAAACUCCUUUCGAUCGGGAAGAUAAUGACGGUACCGAUAUAAGAAGCCCGGCUAACUUCGUGC